GCUGGCGUAGCUCAGGGGUAGAGCAGCUGAUUUGUAAUCAGCCGGUCGGGGGUUCAAAUCCUCUCGCCAGCUCCA
rnacentral:tRNA from 2 species